UACGGAGGAUGCGAGCGUUGUCCGGAUUUAUUGGGUUUAAAGGGUGCGUAGGCGGACUGUCAAGUCAGCGGUAAAAUUGAGAGGCUCAACCUCUCCCCGCCGUUGAAACUGGUGGUCUUGAGUGGAUGAGAAGUACGCGGAAUGCGUGGUGUAGCGGUGAAAUGCAUAGAUAUCACGCAGAACUCCGAUUGCGAAGGCAGCGUACCGGCAUCCAACUGACGCUGAGGCACGAAAGCGUGGGGAUCAAACAGG
rnacentral:rRNA from 1 species